rnacentral:lncRNA from 1 species
CAAAGUUAAGGCCAAAAGGCUGGAAUAUACCAUGUCUACCUGCACUGGACUGCAACAAAUGCAGGGUAGAGUGACAUCUGAGUUCAUGAUUUCUCCAUGCAACAGUAAUAGGAGUAUUAAAUUGCCUCCAUUAAUAGAGUUUUCUUCAAUUCCAAGAAGCAAGAACCAAAUAGCAACAAAGGCUGUAGCUGGAAGCCACCCACACCUGAAAGCUAUAGCAAAGGAAAUUCCUGCAUUGGACAAAGAUGCUGAAAUUGUCCUCCUGAUAGGUUCGGAUUGCCCAGAGCUGUUCCAGGUCUUGGAGCAGACAAAGGGGCCUCCAGGUGCUCCAAUAGCACAGAAAUUGCCGUUAGGAUGGAUAGUUAUUGGACCAGUGUGUAUCAAUAACAAAGGCCCUCCAACAGCGUUCAACCUGACUGGCAACAGUAAAUUCCCAAACUCUCGACCUUCACAAUUGCAAAGUUGCCUAAGUCACAUUAAGGUGUGUUGCCUUGGUAUAAUUCCAGACAACAGUUCUAUUUUUGAGACUUCUACAAGAGAUGAAGAUUUAGCCUUUUCCCGUGAGGAAAGAAAGUUCCUAGACAUAAUGAACCUAGAGACGGUCCAGAAUAGUGAAGGGAGCUGGAUAGCACCCCUUCCCUUUAGAGAAGAUCGACCAAAUUUGCCUAACAAUUUUGCUUUAAGAAAUAGAAUGCUCUAAGACCCCAGUCUGAAAGUGCAAAUUGUGCAAUUUGUUGAAGACUUGUUUGUAAGCAACUAUGCAGAAAAGGCUCCUCUAUGUAGUGAACCACAAGAGCAUUGGUUCCUGCCAUACCAUAAAGUAACUCACCCACAAAAGCCAGAAAAGGUGAGAAUAGUUUUUGACUCAAGUGCAAAGGUGCAAAACAUCUCACUUAAUGAUGUUCUUCUCAAGGGACCAGACUUACUUAACAGUUUACUAGGAGCGCUUUUGAAGUUUAGAGAAAAGAGAGUGGCAGUGACGGCAGACAUCCACAAAAUGUUCUAUGC